rnacentral:rRNA from 1 species
UACGUAGGGACCGAGCGUUGUCCGGAUUUAUUGGGCGUAAAGAGCUCGUAGGCGGCUUGUCGCGUCGACUGUGAAAACCCGCGGCUCAACUGCGGGCCUGCAGUCGAUACGGGCAGGCUAGAGUUCGGUAGGGGAGACUGGAAUUCCUGGUGUAGCGGUGAAAUGCGCAGAUAUCAGGAGGAACACCAAUGGCGAAGGCAGCUCGCUGGAACGGAACUGACGCUGAGGCGCGAAAGCGUGGGGAGCGAACAGG